AAAAUGUAUUGGUUUUUUUUUAUCCUUGUGGCUGAUCCGGGGUCAGUUUGUGUUACAGGGCAAAGGUCGAAAAGACACGUCCAUGUUUUCCUCCAUGAUGAUGUCGAAUCUGCACAUCACAGGCCUAAAAAAGAUGGAAAAGACAUUUGUUUAGGGCAGGGGGCGGGUUUGAAGGCUUCGCACUGGAGACAUUUGGCGUCCAGGAAGUCGCUGUAGGACGAGCAGGGAAACGCGGUGAUGGAGCAGGUCUGGUUCAGAGCGCAGAGUCUUUUCCUCUGGUUUGGUCUGGAUUUUGUACCUGUGAUGCGUCCGAUCUUCCCUUUGAGAUUUGAGCCCACAAACCCGGCGAGGUGAGCCCCCAGACUGACCCCGAUCAGGUGGAUGUUGUCCAGAGACGCUCCCUCCUCCUGGAAUUACACAAGAAAAAGUCGACUUUACGUGAUGUGGGGCGUGAGUUUUCUGAGGAUCUCCAUGGGAACGGCGGUGACGAUGACGGAG